rnacentral:rRNA from 1 species
CAGCCGUAAACUAUGCGCGUUAGGUGUACUGGUGACCACGCGUUACUGAUGCGCCGAAGAGAAAUCGUGAAACGCACCACCUGGGAAGUACGGUCGCAAGGCUGAAACUUAAAGGAAUUGGCGGGGGAGCACCACAACAGGUGGAGCCUGCGGUUUAAUUGGAUUCAACGCCGGACAUCUCACCGGAUAAGACAGCUGAAUGAUUGUCAAUCUGAAGGUUUUACAUGACUAGCUGAGAGGUGGUGCAUGGCGUCAGUGACU